rnacentral:rRNA from 1 species
AUGUUUCAAAAUAAAGAAUGUGAUGCCAGUGUUGGUUCUAUUGCUAAAGCGUUUGUCCCCACUGGCAUGCUCAACUCAGACAGUGCUGAUGUUGUUUUAUAUUCUCUACGUCAGAAGUACCGAGACACUGACAAGUUGAUAGUUCCCAGAUGGGUGACGACCAAGAUCCGUGAUGGAAAUAUUGAUUCCAAUGUGCUAAAUUGGUUCACAAGAUCAGGUGAGUGGCUGGAUCUUGGUGAGCCUGACUACAGGUUCUUUGGUAGCCAGUUCUUGGAGCUCGAGCGCGUCGCUAUUGAUCUUAGCCAGGGGCGUUCUCCCGAAAAGAGAAGAUCUGGUGUUAUGAAGGGCAGUUGCGAGCUCUGA